ensembl:lncRNA
GAGGCUGCGGACGACAGUAGGCGACAGGCUUCCUCUCCACUCUUGUCCCCCUCUUUCCUUGCCAGUCUCCACACAGAGCCGGCUCGAGAACGUGCUGCCUUCUCACGCACUCUUUGCCAUAUCCCAGAAUCAGACGAGUGCUCGCACUCCGCCCCCGCUAAGGGACGCUAUGCCUCCCAUGCCGGGGCCGUCUGUUCCACCUCGCUGCCCCACUGUGGGUACGCCUGUAGUUCCUUUGACCCCGCUGGAUCGGUUUCUGGGAGCCUGGCUAGAGCUCCCCAGCCCCUCCCGCUGGCUCAUCCAAACGAUCAGGCUCGGCUACGCGAUUCAGUUCGCCCGGCGUCCCCCCAGGUUUCGGGGUGUGUGUGCAACAGUGGUUGGCAAAGAUGCCUCUGUUAUGCGUAUGGAGGUCGCGACCCUGUUGGCAAAGGGCGCUAUAGAGCCGGUCCCUCCUGCUGACAUGAAGUCCGGCUUCUAUAGCCCCUACUUCAUAGUACCCAAGAAAACAGGUGGGUUAGCGCCCAAUCCUGGACUUGCGUGCCCUGAACCAAGCUCUUCACAGACUUCCGUUCAAGAUGUUAACGCCCAAGCGCAUUCUCGAAUGCAUUCGUCCGAUGGAUUGGUUUGCAGCGAUCAACCUGAAGGACGCGUACAUUCAUGUCUCUAUUCUUCCUCCACACAGACCGUUUCUUUGGUUUGCUUUCGAGGGUCAGGCGUAUCAGUACAAAGUUCUCCCGUUCGGGUUGGCCCUGUCUCCCCGCGUCUUUACGAAAGUUGCGGAGGGAGCUCUUGUACCUCUCAGGGAACGAGGUGUCCGUAUCCUCAACUACCUCGACGACUGGCUGAUUCUAGCUCACUCUCGAGCACAGUUGUGCGAGCACAGGGAUCUGGUGCUCAGACACCUCGCCCUUCUGGGUCUUCGGGUCAACUGGGAAAAGAGCAAACUGUGCAGAGGAUCUCUUUUCUUGGUAUGGAGAUAGACUCGGUCGCCAUGUUCGCGCAGCUUACGAGUGAGCACGCGCAGUCACUGCUGAGUCAAUUCAAAGGCAAGAAAGCGGUUCCACUGAAACUAUUUCAGAGGCUUCUGGGGCAUAUGGCAUCCUCAGCGGCGGUCAUACCGCUCAGGUUGCUUCAUAUGAGACCGUUUCAGCACUGGCUUCACGGCCGAGUCCCAAGAUGGGCAUGGCAACAGGACACCUUUCGGGUGAUCAUCACUCCAACCUGCCGUCGAACCUUCACCCCGUGGUUGGACCUCUCAUUUCUACGGGCUGGCGUUCCCCUAGAACCAGUGUCCAGACAUGUUGUUGUGUCAACAGAUGCCACGGGCUGGGGUGCCAUGUGCAACGAGCAUACUGCAUCAGUUUCCUGGACAGGACCCCGACUUCAGUGGCAUGUCAAUUGCCUCGAGUUGCUAGCAGUAGGGCUUGCUCUGCACCGCUUCAGGGCCCUGCUGAGGGACAAGCACGUUCUGGUCCGUACUGACAAUACUGCGACCGUAGCGUACAUCAACCAUCAGGGCGGUCUACGCUCCCAUCGCAUGUCACAACUCACACGCCAUCUCCUCUUGUGGAGUCAGAAGCAUCUGAGGUCGCUUUGUGCAAUUCACAUCCCGGGCAGGCUCCAUCGUGCAGCCGACGAGCUUUCACGUCAGCAGUCUCGCCUCGGGGAAUGGAGACUCCACCCCCAGUCGGUUCAGCUGAUUUGGGAACGCUCCGGAGACGCUCAGGUAGACCUGUUUGCCUCUCCAGAAAAUUCCCACUGCCAGUUGUUUUACUCCCUGACCGAGGGCACCCUUGGCAUGGACGCUCUGGCGCACAGCUGGCCGCUGGGCCUGCGCAAGUAUGCGUUUCCCCCAGUGAGCCUUCUUGCACAGACGUUGUGCAAGAUCAGGGAGGACGAGGAGCAGGUCCUCGUGGUUGCACCUUAUUGGCCUGGCCGGACCUGGUUCCCCGAACUCGUACUCCUCGCGACAGCCACUCCCUGGCCAAUUCCUCUGAGGAAGGACCUUCUUUCUCAGAGACGGGGUACCCUAUGGCACCCGCGUCCCGAUCUUUGGAACCUACAUGUGUAGGUUCUGGAUGGGUUACGGGUUAGCUACCAUCACUUCAGCUAGGGCCUUGUCUACCAGACACGCCUAUGCCCUGAAGUGGAAC